rnacentral:rRNA from 1 species
CGGCAACAGCUCAAAUUUGAAAUCUGGCGUCUUCGACGUCCGAGUUGUAAUUUGCAGAGGGCGCUUUGGCAUUGGCAGCGGUCCAAGUUCCUUGGAACAGGACGUCACAGAGGGUGAGAAUCCCGUACGUGGUCGCUAGCCUUUACCGUGUAAAGCCCCUUCGAC